AGCUCCAAUAGCGUAUAUUAAAGUUGUUGCAGUUAAAAAGCUCGUAGUUGGAUUUCUGGUCUGGGCGUCCGGUCCGCCGCUGUGCGGUGUGUACUUGGUUCGACCCGGGCCUUCCUUGUGGGGAAUGUAUCUGGGCUUAAUUGGUCGGAUAUUGGAACCACAUCGUUUACUGUGAAAAAAUUAGAGUGUUUAAAGCAGGCAUUUGCUGUGAAUACAUUAGCAUGGAAUAAUAAGAUAGGACUUUGGUUCUAUUUUGUUGGUUGGAGGCCAAGGUAAUGAUUAAUAGGGAUAGUUGGGGGUAUUCAUAUUUAAUUGUCAGA
rnacentral:rRNA from 1 species